rnacentral:rRNA from 1 species
UUUUAUGAGAGUUUGAUCCUGGCUCAGGACGAACGCUGGCGGCGUGCCUAAUACAUGCAAGUCGUACGCUUCUUUUUCCACCGGAGCUUGCUCCACCGGAAAAAGAAGAGUGGCGAACGGGUGAGUAACACGUGGGUAACCUGCCCAUCAGAAGGGGAUAACACUUGGAAACAGGUGCUAAUACCGUAUAACAAUCGAAACCGCAUGGUUUUGAUUUGAAAGGCGCUUUCGGGUGUCGCUGAUGGAUGGACCCGCGGUGCAUUAGCUAGUUGGUGAGGUAACGGCUCACCAAGGCCACGAUGCAUAGCCGACCUGAGAGGGUGAUCGGCCACAUUGGGACUGAGACACGGCCCAAACUCCUACGGGAGGCAGCAGUAGGGAAUCUUCGGCAAUGGACGAA